GCCUCUGCCGGCGCGGCGGCGUCGGGUCCCCGGGCCUCUGCCGGCGCGGCGGCGUCGGGCCUCCUGAUUGCAACCAGGGGAUACUGGGAGGAAUCUACUGGUUGAUUCAUCAUUGAGAGGCUGGUCUCUUUGGUCAUCUGCUUGAAUCAGCCAGGGAUUUGAGUGGGUUUCCAUUGGGCAAAUAAAAAAGAUCCCUUUGUUUCUUCAUGUGAAACAUUACAGGGCAUAGCCUACCUUAACUCAAAUCUGAAGCAUGAAGACAUCAGUUGUACAAUAAAUCUUGAUUUUUAAAGUGA